CUCCUACGGGAGGCAGCAGUGGGGAAUAUUGCACAAUGGGCGCAAGCCUGAUGCAGCCAUGCCGCGUGUAUGAAGAAGGCCUUCGGGUUGUAAAGUACUUUCAGCGGGGAGGAAGGGAGUAAAGUUAAUACCUUUACUCAUUGACGUUACCCGCAGAAGAAGCACCGGCUAACUCCGUGCCAGCAGCCGCGGUAAUACGGAGGAUGCGAGCGUUAUCCGGAUUUAUUGGGUUUAAAGGGAGCGUAGACGGAGGAUUAAGUCAGUUGUGAAAGUUUGCGGCUCAACCGUAAAAUUGCAGUUGAUACUGGUUCCCUUGAGUGCAGUUGAGGCAGGCGGAAUUCGUGGUGUAGCGGUGAAAUGCAUAGAUAUCACGAAGAACCCCGAUUGCGAAGGCAGCCUGCUAAGCUGUAACUGACGUUGAGGCUCGAAAGUGUGGGUAUCAAACAGGAUUAGAUACCCUGGUAGUCCACACGGUAAACGAUGGAUACUCGCUGUUGGCGAUAUACUGUCAGCGGCCAAGCGAAAGCAUUAAGUAUCCCACCUGGGGAGUACGCCGGCAACGGUGAAACUCAAAGGAAUUGACGGGGGCCCGCACAAGCGGAGGAACAUGUGGUUUAAUUCGAUGAUACGCGAGGAACCUUACCCGGGCUUAAAUUGCAGACGAAUUACUUGGAAACAGGUAAGCCGCAAGGCGUCUGUGAAGGUGCUGCAUGGUUGUCGUCAGCUCGUGCCGUGAGGUGUCGGCUUAAGUGCCAUAACGAGCGCAACCCUCGUGGUCAGUUACUAACAGGUCAAGCUGAGGACUCUGGCCAGACUGCCAUCGUAAGAUGCGAGGAAGGUGGGGAUGACGUCAAAUCAGCACGGCCCUUACGUCCGGGGCUACACACGUGUUACAAUGGGAGGUACAGAAGGCAGCUACCCGGCGACGGGAUGCCAAUCUCCAAAACCUCUCUCAGUUCGGACUGGAGUCUGCAACCCGACUCCACGAAGCUGGAUUCGCUAGUAAUCGCGCAUCAGCCACGGCGCGGUGAAUACGUUCCCGGGCCUUGUACACACCGC
rnacentral:rRNA from 1 species